rnacentral:rRNA from 1 species
GACGAACGCUGGCGGCGUGCCUAACACAUGCAAGUCGAGCGGAGUCAGUAAGAGGAAGUUUUCGGAUGGAAUCUUAUUGAUUUAGCGGCGGACGGGUGAGUAACGCGUGAGCGACCAGCCUUGCACAGGGGGAUAACGGACCGAAAGGUUCACUAAUACCGCAUGAGACCACGGUGUUGCAUGACACAGGGGUCAAAGGAGGAAUCCGGUGCAAGACGGGCUCGCGUCCGAUUAGGUAGUUGGAGGGGUAACGGCCCACCAAGCCUAUGAUCGGUAGCCGACCUGAGAGGGUGAUCGGCCACAUUGGAACUGAGAUACGGUCCAAACUCCUACGGGAGGCAGCAGUGGGGAAUAUUGGGCAAUGGGGGAAACCCUGACCCAGCAACGCCGCGUGAAGGAAGAAGGUUUUCGGAUUGUAAACUUCUGUCCUUGGUGAAGAGAAGAAGACGGUAGCCAAGGAGGAAGCCCCGGCUAACUACGUGCCAGCCGCCGCAGUAA